UGAGCGUAUUUUAGAUAGAUAUUUUAGUUCUUUGGCAAUUAUCGCUAUGCUUCACUGAACCAUGCCGCUGAUAAGAGUAAAAUUAACUACUGUCAACAGUUUCUGUGAAGAGGCCUACCAGUGAGGACUGAAAGAAAAAAUAUCGCGACCGAUCAGAAACAUUCCGAUGUUCAAAGUUCUUAGCAAGUGAAAAAAAAGUCUGGAUAGUUGAGCAUGGCGGUAAUCCACGUUAUUUCAAAAAUAAUAACUAGUUAGUGCCACAAGAAGCGAUGAGCACAAUUAGAAGAGACUUUCAACUUCAACAAAAACUCCGGCGAAAGGUUGGAUAAUAAGAACCAGAACGUAAUUAGAACUAUCACUUUUAUUUAUAAAAGUCAAGAAUUUACCUGAAGGACUAGUUGAGUAUGGGUGUUUACUUGGAAGGGCUGCAUUUCUGUGUUAGAAGAAAGGAUUAAAGGGAAUUAGCGAGCACACUUAGUGUUUCUGAGCGAAGAACCAACCCCUUAUGCUGCUAUUAAAACCCAUGAAGGAGAAUUAAACCGUACAAUGGGCUCAGUAAGUUCAACAAGUUUUUCUUGUUUGUAUUCAGUUUGUUAAAAAAAUACUUACAAGGGAAAUCGUAACAGCGUUAAUUAGCGUCGUUCGCAUCGCUUUGUAGUUCAUAAUUAGAAUAUUUAGUAAACAUUAGAGAUAAUGAGGGGAUGUGAUUUUAGGAGAAGUCACAUCCCAAAAGGAAAGUAAUCUACAGUGAAGUGUAUUUUACACGUUCUUUUUGGCGGAUAUUAAUGUUUUGAUUGAUGGCUUAACUUAUAUCACAGAUAAGAUCAUAUUUGCUGUUUGUACAGUUCCUAGGCCAAACAAAAAUCACGAGCAUAACCUUGAAUAGAUAAUAUAUCAGAAAAGAAAAUUAAAUCUACAUAAUGCGUUCAUCGAAAUAAAAUCCUUUGCUAAACAUAAUCCUCAUCGUAGGUGCUAGUUUCACUUAAAGGUUAUGUUUCUGUAUUUUUCAUAUUUUCAUAAUGCAGACUUCCCCAGAAAUCAUCCUGGUAGCAUCCCACUGAAGGCUCCUACAGUCUGCACCAUCAUUCCUCUUUGUAGUUAGAACUACCUGAAAUUGUUUACAACGGAAAAAAUUUGUUAAGAUACUGGAAAUUAAUAUUCCCCGCCAAAAAACUAGUGUUAUUCCGUAUGUAGCACAAAAAAUAACAACACAUAUUUGCUUCGUGACUAUACCUAUAGAAAAACAACAAAACACUGGGGUAAUUAUUAAAAGGCGCACAAAGAACUGGAGUUUUAUGACCCCUUAAUGGUGCGUCAUUGAGGAUGCGUUACGAAACAAACAAGCUGAAUUUAAAAUAUAUCUUCAU